AACGAACGCUGGCGGCAUGCCUAACACAUGCAAGUCGAACGAUCCCUUCGGGGCUAGUGGCGCACGGGUGCGUAACGCGUGGGAACCUGCCCUUAGGUUCGGAAUAACUCAGAGAAAUUUGGGCUAAUACCGGAUAAUGUCUUCGGACCAAAGAUUUAUCGCCUUUGGAUGGGCCCGCGUUGGAUUAGCUAGUUGGUGGGGUAAAGGCCUACCAAGGCGACGAUCCAUAGCUGGUCUGAGAGGAUGAUCAGCCACACUGGGACUGAGACACGGCCCAGACUCCUACGGGAGGCAGCAGUGGGGAAUAUUGGACAAUGGGCGAAAGCCUGACCCAGCAAUGCCGCGUGAGUGAUGAAGGCCUUAGGGUUGCAAAGCUCUUUUACCCGGGAUGAUAAUGACAGUACCGGGAGAAUAAGCCCCGGCUAACUACGUG
rnacentral:rRNA from 1 species